CUACGGAAGGCAGCAGUGGGGAAUAUUGCGCAAUGGAGGGAACUCUGACGCAGCAACGCCGCGUGAAGGAUGAAGGCUUUCGGGUUGUAAACUUCUUUGAUCGGGGACGAAGAUGACGGUACCCGAGGAACAAGCCACGGCUAACUACGUGCCAGCAGCCGCGGUAAUACGUAGGUGGCAAGCGUUGUCCGGAAUUACUGGGUGUAAAGGGCGUGUAGGCGGGGCGGCAAGUCAGAUGUGAAAUACCGUGGCUUAACUGCGGGGGUGCAUCUGAAACUGUCGUUCUUGAGUGUCGGAGAGGAAAGUGGAAUUCCCAGUGUAGCGGUGAAAUGCGUAGAGAUUGGGAGGAACACCAGUGGCGAAGGCGGCUUUCUGGACGAUAACUGACGCUGAGGCGCGAAAGCGUGGGUAGCAAACAGGAUUAGAUACCCCGGUAGC
rnacentral:rRNA from 1 species